rnacentral:rRNA from 1 species
AUUGAACGCUGGCGGCAGGCCUAACACAUGCAAGUCGAACGAGUGGCGGACGGGUGAGUAAUGUCUGGGAAACUGCCUGCUGGAGGGGGAUAACUACUGGAAACGGUCGCUAAUACCGCAUACCAUCGGAUGAGCCCAGAUGGGAUUAGCUAGUAGGUGGGGUAAAGGCUCACCAAGGCGACGAUCCCUAGCUGGUCUGCGAGGAUGACCAGCCACACUGGAACUGAGGCACGGUCAAGACUCCUACGUGAGGCAGCAGUGGGGAAUAGUGCACAAUGGGCGCAAGCCUGAUGCAGCCAUGCCGCGUGUAUGAAGAAGACCUUAGGGUUGUAAAGUACUUUCAGCGGGGAGGCGUUACCCGCAGAAGAAGCACCGGCUAACUCCGUGCCAGCAGCCGCGGUAAUUC